rnacentral:rRNA from 1 species
AUUGAACGCUGGCGGCAUGCUUUACACAUGCAAGUCGAACGGUAACAGGCCGCAAGGUGCUGACGAGUGGCGAACGGGUGAGUAAUGCAUCGGAACGUGCCCAGUCGUGGGGGAUAACGCAGCGAAAGCUGCGCUAAUACCGCAUACGAUCUGUGGAUGAAAGCGGGGGACCGUAAGGCCUCGCGCGAUUGGAGCGGCCGAUGUCAGAUUAGGUAGUUGGUGGGGUAAAGGCUCACCAAGCCGACGAUCUGUAGCUGGUCUGAGAGGACGACCAGCCACACUGGGACUGGGACACGGCCCAGACUCCUACGGGAGGCAGCAGUGGGGAAUUUUGGACAAUGGGCGCAAGCCUGAUCCAGCAAUGCCGCGUGCAGGAAGAAGGCCUUCGGGUUGUAAACUGCUUUUGUACGGAACGAAACGGCUCUGGUUAAUACCUGGGGCUAAUGACGGUACCGUAAGAAUAAGCACCGGCUAACUACGUGCCAGCAGCCGCAGUAAAAC